UACGGGGGGAACAAGUGUUAUUCAUCAUAACUGGGCGUAAAGGGCAUGUAGAUUGUUUAUGGAGUUUAUUAUUAUUCAAAAUAAUUUAGACCAUAAUACUAGAAUAAAUAUAGAAAUUUGUGGAAUUUAAUUUAAAGGGGUGAAAUGCGGUAUAAAUUAAAGACGAACUACGGGCGAAAGCGACAAAUUAUAUUUAUUGACAUUGAAGUGCAAAGCAUAGGAGCAGACAGG
rnacentral:rRNA from 1 species